GCGUGAGAGGCGGACGGGUGAGUAAUGUCUGGGAAACUGCCUGCUGGAGGGGGAUAACUACUGGAAACGGUAGCUAAUACCGCAUACCAUCAGAUGUGCCCAGAUGGGAUUAGCUAGUAGGUGGGGUAACGGCUCACCUAGGCGACGAUCCCUAGCUGGGCUGCGAGGAUGACCAUCCACGCUUGAACUGAGACACGGUCCAUACUGCUCCGGUAGCGAGAAUUGUGGAAUAUUGCACAAUGGGCGCAAGCCUGGUGCAGCCAUGCCUGGUGUGUGAAGAAGGCCUUCGGGUUGUAAAGCACUUUCAGCGGGGAGUCGUUACCCGCAGAAGAAGCACCGGCUAACUCCGUGCCAGCAGCCGCGGUAAUUC
rnacentral:rRNA from 1 species